rnacentral:tRNA from 1 species
AGCGUGACAACCCAUAGGCGAGGGUAGCAGACUGUAAAUCUGUGGGCAUUAGGCCUGUGUUGGUUCGAUUCCAACUCGCGCUACCA